rnacentral:lncRNA from 1 species
GCCCUUUGCCGUCGGGCUCGGGCGGGCCUUCGACAAAGUCAGCGGGCCCGGGCAGGGCUCGGGCUUGGAAAAACGGCCCGUGCACGGCUCUAGUGUGUUGUAUGUUGUGGUUACUGACGUAAGAGAAAGCUCUUCACUCGGUAUUAUACACGGUGUACCGCGCAAAUAGUCACCAGAUGCCGGCCGUGGGACUCCAAUAUAUGCGACCUCUUCGUUAUCGACGGGCGCGAUGCAGAGUUUGCAUAGCUUUCAAAUGUUUCCGCACGGGGUCAGUGAGUAUCAGCGCCGCAAUCCUUUCUCGACGACGCGCUCUGUGGCCCUGGAAAAUGCCUUGACGCUCGGGGACGACCGGACACUGGUAGCUUGGCCAUUCCUCGCUUGGCGCCUCGCUUGAAAACUGUUGGUCAGCCUGCAGUGUACGCCGCCGGCGUGCUUUCUUGCCCGAGGUAGCAAACAGCAGUGCCACGACAAACAGUGGGGUGCUGACCAUGCAGUCCAGAAGGUGGCCGAGGCAAGCAUGCCAUAAGGGGUGCUUAUUCAGGCAGAAGAAAUAAGCAUCUGUAGCCAACGUAAAGGAAGCAUCUUCAAAAAGCAGUGCUACAAGGAUGUGAGCAGAAAUUUCCCUUCAACGAAUGGGUCAAAUUCAUGGAAGCCACGUGCCUGCUGCUUCUGGCCUACACAAGCAUGCAGCCACCAUAGUAAAGUUCUUGCAAAGGUAUUCUACACAAACUUGCCUAAAGGCGGAAUAAAGGCACGUACAGAUAGACGCACUGAAAUCAUGGGGCUGCCAUAGAAGCUGUGAAUGAGCAUUAACCUGCGAACGUACAGAAUGGAGCGAAGUGGAGCUCUCCAUGGGCCGCGCACACAGUUUCAUAAGCGGGCUUGCAACAGCUUUGACAAUUAUGUUCCUGAAUAUAUCUGCCAAAGUGGCAUUUAAAGAAGUAUGUAGUAGU